rnacentral:misc_RNA from 1 species
GAUGAAGAACGAAGCGAAAUGCGAUAAGUAAUGUGAAUUGCAGAAUUCAGUGAAUCAUCGAAUCUUUGAACGCACAUUGCGCCCGCCAGUAUUCUGGCGGGCAUGCCUGUUCGAGCGUCAUUACAACCCUCAGGCCCCCGGGCCUGGCGUUGGGGAUCGGCGGAGCCCCCCGUGGGCACACGCCGUCCCCCAAAUACAGUGGCGGUCCCGCCGCAGCUUCCAUCGCGUAGUAGCUAACACCUCGCGACUGGAGAGCGGCGCGGCCACGCCGUAAAACACCCAACUCUUCUGAAGUUGACCUCGAAUCAGGUAGGAAUACCCGCUGAACUUAAGCAUAUCAAUAAGCGGAGGA